UAAUGCCAGUUGUGGCUGUUGAACGAUUAUAGAUUUUACAGAUUUUUGCCUGCCAUAAUUUUAGCAUGGCGAUGGUUCUUAGAACCAGAAAUGAAACUUCAGUGGCCUCUUAAAAGGCUAGGCUUGGCUGUUGAUCAAUUAUAGAGUUUAGAGAUUUCUGCCUGGCAUCACUUUAGCCAGGAGGGUGACGGUUCUUUGAACCUGAAUGAAAACCUCAACGGCCUGUUUAAUGCUAGGUGUGGCUGUUGAUCGAUUAUAGACUUUAUACUUUUCUGCCUGGCAUUACGUUAGCUAAGGCAAUGGUUCUUAGAACCAGAAAAUCUCAAUGGCUAUUUUUAAUGUUUGGUAUGGCCAAUGAAAAAUAAUGGACUUGAGAGUGUUCUUGCCUGGCGUAAUUUUAGCCAUGGCGAUGGUUCUUAGAACCCAAAAAAACCUCAACUGCCAUUUUUAAUGCUAGAUGUGGCUGGUGAUCUAUAAUAUAUUUUAUAUAUUUUAUGCCUGGCAUAAUUUUAGCCCUGGCACUGGUUCUUAGAACCAGAAAGGAAAACUUAAUGGCCAUUUUUAAUGCUAGGUAUGGCCUGUGAUUGAUAAUAGAUUUCAUAGCUUUCUUGCCUGGCAUAAUUUUAGCCCUGGCAGUGGUUCUUAGAACCAGAAAGAAAACCUCAAUGGCCCUUUUAAUAUUUUGCAUGGCCAAUGAUUAAUAGAUUUCAUAGCUUUCUUGCCUGGCAUAAUUUUAGCCCUGGCACUGGUUCUUAGAACUGGAAAGGCAACCUCAAUGGCACUUUUCUAAUGCUAGAUGUGGCCAUUGAUCCACAAAAGAUUUUAUAGCUUUGUAGCUUUAGAAACUCAGGGGAGGAACAAUUGCACUCUUGCUGCCAAAUGUUCCUCGAAAGAGACAACGCUUCCUGGGCACGACUCAGGAAGAAAAGAAAGCGAAAGAAGAAAAAAGAAGGAAGAAAGGAGAGUUUAAGAAAACGUCUGAAGCUCCAGCUCUGUUAGCCUUUGGCUGUGAUGUGGCCUUAUACGCUGUGAGCAUCUACUACAGCAUCUUAGAAGACAGAAGAUUCAUUCGUCAGCCUGCAGUGUUGAGGAUGAAAAUGGAAGAAGAAGGAACGGAAAUCAAGAAUGAACAUGAUCUUCAUGAAAAAGACGACUUCACCAAGUAAAUCAAAACUGUAGAUACUAGAUUUUAUACCUUUCUGGCCUGGCAUAAAUUUAGCCGCCAGAAUGAUUCUUAGAACCGGAAAGGAAACUUCAACGGCCCUUUUUAAUGCCGGUUGUGGCUAUUGAAGGAUUAUAGAUUUCAUAGAUUUUUGCCUGCCAUAAUUUUAGCAUGGCGAUGGUUCUUAGAACCAGAAAUGAAACUUCAGUGCCCUUUUAAAAUGCUAGGCUUGGCUGUUGAUCGAUUAUAGACUUUAUAGAUUUCUGCCUGGCAUUACGUUAGCUAAGGCAAUGGUUCUUAGAACCAGAAAAUCUCAAUGGCCAUUUUUAAUGUUUGGUAUGGCCAAUGAAAAAUAAUGGACUUGAGAGUGUUCUUGCCUGGCGUAAUUUUAGCCAUGGCGAUGGUUCUUAGAACCCAAAAAAACCUCAACUGCCAUUUUUAAUGCUAGAUGUGGCUGGUGAUCUGUAAUAUACUUAUCUUUUUUGCCUGGCAUAAAUUUAGCCCUGGCACUGGUUCUUAGAACCAGAAAGAAAACCUCAAUGGCCCUUUUAAUGUUUUGCAUGGCCAAUGAUUAAUAGAUUUGAGAGUGUUCUUGCCUGGCGUAAUUUAGCCAUGGCGAUGGUUCUUAGAACUGGAAAGGGAACCUCAAUGGCACUUUUCUAAUGCUAGAUGUGGCCAUUGAUCCACAAAAGAUUUUAUAGCUUUGUAGCUUUAGAAACUCAGGGGAGGAACAAUUGCACUCUUGCUGCCAAAUGUUCCUCGAAAGAGACAGCGCUUCCUGGGCAUGACUCAGGAAGAAAGGAAAGCGAAAGAAGAAAAAAGAAGGAAGAAAGAAGAGUUCAAGAAAACGUCUGAAGCUCCAGCUCUGUUAGCCUUUGGCUGUGAUGUGGCCUUAUGCGCUGUGAGCAUCUACUACAGCAUCUUAGAAGACAGAAGAUUCAUUCGUCAGCCUGCAGUGUUGAGGGUGAAAAUGGAAGAAGAAGGAAUGGAAAUCAAGAAUGAACAUGAUCUUCAUGAAAAAGACGACUUCACCAAGUAAAUCAAAACUGUAGAUACUAGAUUUUAUACCUUUCUGGCCUGGCGUAAAUUUAGCCGCCAGAAUGAUUUUUAGAACCGGAAAAGAAACUUCAACGGCCCUUUUUAAUGCCAGUUGUGGCUGUUGAACGAUUAUAGAUUUUACAGAUUUUUGCCUGCCAUAAUUUUAGCAUGGCGAUGGUUCUUAGAACCAGAAAUGAAACUUCAGUGGCCUCUUAAAAGGCUAGGCUUGGCUGUUGAUCAAUUAUAGAGUUUAGAGAUUUCUGCCUGGCAUCACUUUAGCCAGGAGGGUGACGGUUCUUUGAACCUGAAUGAAAACCUCAACGGCCUGUUUAAUGCUAGGUGUGGCUGUUGAUCGAUUAUAGACUUUAUAGAUUUCUGCCUGGCAUUACGUUAGCUAAGGCAAUGGUUCUUAGAACCAGAAAAUCUCAAUGGCUAUUUUUAAUGUUUGGUAUGGCCAAUGAAAAAUAAUGGACUUGAGAGUGUUCUUGCCUGGCAUAAUUUUAGCCAUGGCGAUGGUUUUUAGAACCCAAAAAAACCUCAACUGCCAUUUUUAAUGCUAGAUGUGGCUGGUGAUCUAUAAUAUAUUUUAUAUAUUUUAUGCCUGGCAUAAUUUUAGCCCUGGCACUGGUUCUUAGAACCAGAAAGGAAAACUUAAUGGCCAUUUUUAAUGCUAGAUAUGGCCUGUGAUUGAUAAUAGAUUUCAUAGCUUUCUUGCCUGGCAUAAUUUUAGCCCUG